CAACUCCUCCGUUAUUCCAAGGUCAGAGGUGAUAUUAUAAUGAUAAGUUGAUUACACCGAUUUUAAUCACAAGCCAUGAACAAAUAUAAGAGGUGAUAAUACGCGCCUUGACAUAACUUCCAAUAGUUUAACUGUCUGAUUUCUUCAAACAUUCCUAAAAAUACGUUUGCUAUAUCUGUGUUCAUAGUUCAAUUAUGACGGUAAAACCCAAAGUCUUGUGAACAAUUCUAGCGACACAAAAUAUAAUUGAAAAUCGGUAGUUUAGUUUUAACAUAAAAUUAGAACAACUGGCGAGAACCAUCGAAAAUUUGAGGCGUUUUUUUAAAUAUGUGGAUUUAUGAUAAUAAAGCCUGUUGAAAACUAUUAUGUGCUAAUGAUCUAUACAGUUCUACAAAUGAUAUAAUUGGAAACAUGUUGUCAAAGAAUGCUGAUUGGUCCCCCGAUAUUAAGCGUAAUAUAUCACGAGCUUGUACAAACAACAAAAGAAUAUAUGACAGAAGUAACUACCAUCGAUCCAAAAUGGCUAGUUGAAUAUGCCCCUGCAUUCUUCAAAUUCUGGUACCCAACAAAGCUGUCCAAAUUCAAGAAAAACCAGAGGCUGGAGCCAUUAUACAAUAAGUAUGUAGAGGACAAUGCUUGGGAAAGUAUCAAGAGUCAGAAGAAUAAUAAAAUUAUUUUUUUCAAUUCAUUUUUUUAUUUUGUACAUAUAUAGUAAUAAAAGGUCUAUGAAUUUUGUGUACCUUUA